AUUGAACGCUGGCGGCAUGCCUUACACAUGCAAGUCGAACGGCAGCACGGGGCAACCUGGUGGCGAGUGGCGAACGGGUGAGUAAUGCAUCGGAACGUACCUUUCAGUGGGGGAUCGCGUAGCGAAAGUUACGCUAAUACCGCAUAUUCUGUGAGCAGGAAAGCAGGGGAUCGCAAGACCUUGCGCUGAUUGAGGGGCCGGUGUCAGAUUAGCUAGUUGGUGAGGUAAUGGCUCACCAAGGCGACGAUCUGUAGCGGGUCUGAGAGGAUGAUCCGCAACACUGGAACUGAGACACGGUCCAGACUCCUACGGGAGGCAGCAGUGGGGAAUUUUGGACAAUGGGGGCAACCCUGAUCCAGCCAUGCCGCGUGAGUGAAGAAGGCCUUCGGGUUGUAGAGCUCUUUCGGCCGGGAAGAAAUCGCACGGGCUAAUACCCUGUGUGGAUGACGGUACCGGAAUAAGAAGCACCGGCUAACUACGUGCCAGCCGCCGCGGUAAGAC
rnacentral:rRNA from 1 species